GACGAACGCUGGCGGCGUGCUUAACACAUGCAAGUCGAACGAUGACGACCGAGCUUGCUCGGUCUGAUUAGUGGCGAACGGGUGAGUAACACGUGAGCAACCUGCCCUUCACUCUGGGAUAACCUCGGGAAAUCGGGGCUAAUACCGGAUAUGAGCUCCUGUCGCAUGGCGGGUGUUGGAAAGUUUUUCGGUGAAGGAUGGGCUCGCGGCCUAUCAGUUUGUUGGUGAGGUAGUGGCUCACCAAGGCGAUGACGGGUAGCCGGCCUGAGAGGGCGACCGGCCACACUGGGACUGAGACACGGCACAGACUCCUACGGGAGGCAGCAGUGGGGAAUAUUGCACAAUGGGCGAAAGCCUGAUGCAGCGACGCCGCGUGAGGGAUGACGGCCUUCGGGUUGCAAACCUCUUUCAGCAGGGAAGAAGCGAAAGUGACGGUACCUGCAGAAGAAGCGCCGGCUAACUACGUG
rnacentral:rRNA from 1 species